rnacentral:lncRNA from 1 species
GAGGAUGCACCAUGCCUAGCAGAACGGGAAAGUUUGGAGUGACGGCCCGACAUUUCUACUAAGUAUUGCUGGAAUUUGCAAGAGACUUGAAAGAGUUUUGAUAGUUUGAGAGCUAAAAUUGAUGCUUGAGUGAAUAAAAAUGAACAUAUAUGAAGCCUAUUUAUAGAGGAGAGAAAGGCAUUUCAUUAAUGGAAGAAUUCUGCUGAAAAUUGAAAGCUAAAACGAUCAGAAACGGUAAAGAAUAAAUUGCACUGACCAUUUGACAAUCGAUUGUUGUAAUGAGAUAAUCGAUUGUCAUUAAGAUUUGACUGAAUCUCGGAACUGACACAAAUCGAUUGCAGAACCAAACGG